AUCCAUGUGACGAGUCCUAAUAGGACGAAAUGCUCAUCCUGGAU
rnacentral:hammerhead_ribozyme from 1 species